CCCUUAGAUGUCCUGGGCCGCACGCGUGCUACACUGACACUUACACCGAGUUUUUCCAAUGCCGAAAGGCCAUUGGUAAUCAGCAAUAAGUGUCGUGAUGGGGAUAGAUCUUUGGAAUUAUUGAUCUUGAACGAGGAAUGCCUAGUAAUCGUAGGUCAUCAGCCUGCGAUGAUUACGUCCCUGCCCUUUGUGCACACCGCCCGUCGCUCCUACCGAUUUCGAGUGGUUCGGUGAACCUUUCGGACCGGCAAUGCCUCGUGUUGCGCCGGAAAGUCAAGUAAACCAUAUCACUUAGAGGAAGGAGAANUCGUANCA
rnacentral:rRNA from 1 species